AGUUACAAAGGACGACAUUAGACGAAUCAUCUGGAAAGAUGAAUCAAAGAAGGUAAUAAUCCUGUAGUCGAAAAUGUUGUCUCUCUUGAGUGGAUCCUGAGUACGACGGAGCACGUGAAAUUCCGUCGGAAUCUGGGAGGACCAUCUCCUAAGGCUAAAUACUCUCUAGUGACCGAUAGUGAACCAGUACCGUGAGGGAAAGGUGAAAAGCACCCCGGAAGGGGAGUGAAAUAGAACCUGAAACCGUGUGCUUACAAGUAGUCAGAGCCCGUUAAUGGGUGAUGGCGUGCCUUUUGUAGAAUGAACCGGCGAGUUACGAUUUGAUGCAAGGUUAAGCAGUAAAUGUGGAGCCGUAGCGAAAGCGAGUCUGAAUAGGGCGUUUAGUAUUUGGUCGUAGACCCGAAACCAGGUGAUCUACCCUUGGUCAGGUUGAAGUUCAGGUAACACUGAAUGGAGGACCGAACCGACUUACGUUGAAAAGUGAGCGGAUGAACUGAGGGUAGCGGAGAAAUUCCAAUCGAACCUGGAGAUAGCUGGUUCUCUCCGAAAUAGCUUUAGGGCUAGCCUCAAGUGAUGAUUAUUGGAGGUAGAGCACUGUUUGGACGAGGGGCCCCUCUCGGGUUACCGAAUUCAGACAAACUCCGAAUGCCAAUUAAUUUAACUUGGGAGUCAGAACAUGGGUGAUAAGGUCCGUGUUCGAAAGGGAAACAGCCCAGACCACCAGCUAAGGUCCCAAAAUAUAUGUUAAGUGGAAAAGGAUGUGGCGUUGCCCAGACAACUAGGAUGUUGGCUUAGAAGCAGCCAUCAUUUAAAGAGUGCGUAAUAGCUCACUAGUCGAGUGACACUGCGCCGAAAAUGUACCGGGGCUAAACAUAUUACCGAAGCUGUGGAUUGUCCUUUGGACAAUGGUAGGAGAGCGUUCUAAGGGCGUUGAAGCAUGAUCGUAAGGACAUGUGGAGCGCUUAGAAGUGAGAAUGCCGGUGUGAGUAGCGAAAGACGGGUGAGAAUCCCGUCCACCGAUUGACUAAGGUUUCCAGAGGAAGGCUCGUCCGCUCUGGGUUAGUCGGGUCCUAAGCUGAGGCCGACAGGCGUAGGCGAUGGAUAACAGGUUGAUAUUCCUGUACCACCUAUAAUCGUUUUAAUCGAUGGGGGGACGCAGUAGGAUAGGCGAAGCGUGCGAUUGGAUUGCACGUCUAAGCAGUAAGGCUGAGUAUUAGGCAAAUCCGGUACUCGUUAAGGCUGAGCUGUGAUGGGGAGAAGACAUUGUGUCUUCGAGUCGUUGAUUUCACACUGCCGAGAAAAGCCUCUAGAUAGAAAAUAGGUGCCCGUACCGCAAACCGACACAGGUAGUCAAGAUGAGAAUUCUAAGGUGAGCGAGCGAACUCUCGUUAAGGAACUCGGCAAAAUGACCCCGUAACUUCGGGAGAAGGGGUGCUCUUUAGGGUUAACGCCCAGAAGAGCCGCAGUGAAUAGGCCCAAGCGACUGUUUAUCAAAAACACAGGUCUCUGCUAAACCGUAAGGUGAUGUAUAGGGGCUGACGCCUGCCCGGUGCUGGAAGGUUAAGAGGAGUGGUUAGCUUCUGCGAAGCUACGAAUCGAAGCCCCAGUAAACGGCGGCCGUAACUAUAACGGUCCUAAGGUAGCGAAAUUCCUUGUCGGGUAAGUUCCGACCCGCACGAAAGGCGUAACGAUUUGGGCACUGUCUCAACGAGAGACUCGGUGAAAUCAUAGUACCUGUGAAGAUGCAGGUUACCCGCGACAGGACGGAAAGACCCCGUGGAGCUUUACUGUAGCCUGAUAUUGAAAUUCGGCACAGCUUGUACAGGAUAGGUAGGAGCCUUUGAAACGUGAGCGCUAGCUUACG
rnacentral:rRNA from 1 species